AUUACCUACGGGGGGCAGCAGUGGGGGAUAUUGCACAAUGGGGGGAACCCUGAUGCAGCGACGGCGCGUGGGUGAAGAAGCGCCUCGGCGCGUAAAGCCCUGUCAGCAGGGAAGAAAGUGACGGUACCUGCAGAAGAAGCCCCGGCUAACUACGUGCCAGCAGCCGCGGUAAUACGUAGGGGGCAAGCGUUAUCCGGAUUUACUGGGUGUAAAGGGGGCGCAGACGGCGAAGCAAGCCAGGAGUGAAAGCCCGGGGCCCAGCCCCAGGACUGCUGUUGGAACCGCGGGGCUGGAGUGCAGGCGGG
rnacentral:rRNA from 1 species